rnacentral:lncRNA from 1 species
GCCCAAAAAUGCACAAAACGUGGCCAACACCAUCUUCGUAAUUUAGUAGCUUCCCAAAAAUUGAUCUACUGUAUAUAUUUAAGCCCUACUACAAUCUUUAACCCUAGUUUCUCCUCUUCCUGCGUAUUACACUCUAGCCCCUCUUUACCCCCUCCCCAAACCCCCAACUUCACCGCACCAGAAAUCAGCCAUGGGGCGUGUUCGUACGAAGACAGUGAAGAAAUCUUCACGCCAAGUCAUCGAACGUUACUACUCAAAAAUGACCUUAGAUUUCCACACAAAUAAGAAGAUUCUCGAAGAAGUAGCCAUCAUCCCAUCAAAGCGUCUCCGCAACAAAAUUGCUGGAUUCUCCACUCAUUUAAUGAAGCGGAUCCAAAAGGGUCCAGUAAGAGGAAUUUCUCUCAAGUUACAAGAAGAAGAAAGAGAACGUCGUAUGGACUUUGUACCUGAUGAAUCUG